rnacentral:tRNA from 1 species
GGCGCGGUGGACGAAUGGAAGAGUCGCCUGGCUUUCACCCAGGAGCGUUGCGGGUUCGAGCCCCGUCCGCGCUAC